AAAAAAAUAAAAAUGGAAUUAAAAAAAAAUACAGGCCGAGCUACUCCAUUACUGGAAACAAAACAUACAAGUUUUGGAGAUGAAACUAUGGAAUGUGUUUUCGUAGAUGAAACAGGCGCAAAGAUUCAUGCUUCCUCCAAAGUAAUCUCUCUGUUGGAGAAUGGAGAUUCGUCGAAAAAUUUAAGGUUACAAAAAAAAAAAAAAAAAAAUUAAGGUUACUGGAAAUUCUGGCAAAUAUCGCCCAACUGACCUCAAAUACAAGGUCGUUUUGACAGCUGACACAGUGAUAACUCCAUCUAGGUUAUCGGACGUCAAUCCCUCGAAGCUAUUUGAAAAUUGAAUUCCCAUGUCCCUAAACGAUUUAAUGGGUGAAGUUAUUGACAUAGAAGGAAUACAAACAUUUCGGUUCACAUAACACAGCGGGUCAAGUUGUUUCAUGUUGCUUGUGGGGAAAGUAAGCAGCACAAGUUUCAUCUCAAUUUGAAGAUACAAAUGAUGAAACGAUAAUAUCUGAUAAUUUUUGCAAAACUCAGCUUCUACGGAGACUUAUGCAGAAUGAUCUUCCUCUUGCUGAUAUUGAGCAAAAGAAUGAUAAAAAGAUGAUCAAAUGAGACUGUUGGGUAUAUAUAACAUUUUAAAUUAUCACUCGAAGUCAACACAGAAGAACAUCAUUAGUUAUAUUAUGAUACAUCGAAAACUAAUUAUGAAAAAUAAAUAUCGAUGUAUGAAAAAACUCUUUCUAUUUCACUUAAUUUAGUCAAACACA